UACGUAGGGGGCGAGCGUUGUCCGGAUUUAUUGGGCGUAAAGAGCUCGUAGGCGGCUUGGCAAGUCGGGUGUGAAACCUCCAGCUCAACCUGGAGACGCCACUCGAUACUGCCAUGGCUAGAGUCCGGUAGGGGACCACGGAAUUCCUGGUGUAGCGGUGAAAUGCGCAGAGUAUCAGGAGGAACACCGGUGGCGAAGGCGGUGGUCUGGGCCGGCACUGACGCUGAGGAGCGAAAGCGUGGGUAGCAAACAGG
rnacentral:rRNA from 1 species